rnacentral:rRNA from 1 species
GGCAGCAGCCGCGGUAAUACGUAGGGGGCGAGCGUUAUCCGGAAUUAUUGGGCGUAAAGGGUGCGUAGGCGGCCUUUUAAGUCAGAUGUGAAAGGCUACGGCUUAACCGUAGUUAGCGUUUGAAACUAAAAGGCUUGAGUGCAGGAGAGGAGAGUGGAAUUCCUAGUGUAGCGGUGAAAUGCGUAGAUAUUAGGAGGAACACCAGUGGCGAAGGCGACUCUCUGGACUGCAACUGACGCUGAGGCACGAAAGCGUGGGGAGCGAACAGGAUUAGAUACCCUGGUAGUCCACGCCGUAAACGAUGAGUGCUAGGUGUUGGUGGGGACACCCAUCAGUGCCGCAGCUAACGCAUUAAGCACUCCGCCUGGGGAGUACGGUCGCAAGACUGAAACUCAAAGGAAUUGACGGGGACCCGCACAAGCAGCGGAGCAUGUGGUUUAAUUCGACGCAACGCGAAGAACCUUACCAGGGCUUGACAUCCCCUUGACAGGUGCAGAGAUGUACCCUCUCCUUCGGGAGCAAGGGAGACAGGUGGUGCAUGGUUGUCGUCAGCUCGUGUCGUGAGAUGUUGGGUUAAGUCCCGCAACGAGCGCAACCCUUGCCUUUAGUUGAUAACAGGUAAAGCUGAUAACUCUAGAGGGACUGCCGGUGACAAACCGGAGGAAGGUGGGGAUGACGUCAAAUCAUCAUGCCCCUUAUGUCCUGGGCUACACACGUGCUACAAUGGUCGGUACAACGGGAAGCAAGACUGCGAAGUUAAGCAAAUCCCAAUAGGCCGAUCCCAGUUCGGAUUGUAGGCUGCAACUCGCCUACAUGAAGUCGGAGUUGCUAGUAAUCGCGAAUCAGCACGUCGCGGUGAAUGCGUUCCCGGGUCUUGUACACACCGCCCGUCACACCAUGAGAGUUGGUAACACCCGAAGCCAGUGAGCUAACCAUAUGGAGGCAGCUGUCGAAGGUGGGAUCGAUGAUUGGGGUGAAGUCGUAACAAGGUAUCCA